rnacentral:lncRNA from 1 species
UAGAGUCUAAACUCAUGCAUAACAUUUCAUUUUGUUGUGAUUAAUGCAUACAACAUGCGAUAAUAAUUUCCCUUAGACGAUUUGAUGUUACAGUGAAAUGUAUUGAUUUCCCUUGAGUGAUUUUGACUUUUAAUGUGAUAUUUUUCUUGAGCAAUGUUUGUAUAAUGAUACGGUUCUAUAAUGAUUGUUUGUGUUUUAUUAGCUUAAUUUGAUAUAUGGUUCUAUAAUGAUUGUUUGUGUUUUAUACAGUUAUUGGAAAUAUAUUUUUAUUUAUUAUCUGAAAAUUGUAGAAAGAAUGAAUUAUUAUUAUUAUUAUUAUUAUUAUUAUUAUUAUUAUUAUUAUUAUUAUUAUUAUAUUAUUUUGGGGUUUAUGGUGUCACAAAGUUGGUAAAUCUAAUACUCACCAAGUCAUACAAUUCGAUCGAAAUUGUUAUUCUUUCAUGGUCCAUGAAACAGUAAACCCGAGAAAGGUGCAACCAAUUGGCCAUUUUGACGUCAACCUUUAAAAAAAAUGGUGUGAUUAUGGAAAAUUUCAGGCUAUACAUGUUCUUACGCUCGUCAAAACUAUUUAGUGUUUCUACUUAGUGUUAGUUACAUGUUCUUACGCUCGUCAAAACUAUUUAGUGUUUCUACUUGACGUGUACAAGGUUGUUAAUGUAUUUAUCAUCUACAAAGAAGAGUUUCUACAUAUACCCAAUGAAGGAUAUUGGCCCACAUUUGAAAGUGAAACUUUGUAUCACAAGCCUGAAAUGCGGAGAAUUAAAAAAUACCGUCCAAAUAAUACCCUAUUAGAACUGAAAUGGAAGUUAAAGAAAAGUACUAAGAAAAUGUAGACUAUAUCGGUUAACUGGUCAUACUCGAACACAUUGUCCAAAUGUUACAAGAAGUUUUAGUCGCUCUAUAUAAUUUAAAAUUUGUAUUUAUGUAUUUAUCUAAAUUAUAUAUAUAUAUAUAUAUAUAUAUAUGUAUAUAUUGUUAUUUGAAAAAAAAAUUAAUUUUUUUUUGUAAAUUAUUUCAGGAAGUCGCCAUUUGAAAGGUUUUCUUAAGGAAGUUACCAUUCUAAAUGACGACUUAUACUUAGAAAAAAAAGUCUAUUUUGGUUAAUAAAUUUAAAAAGAGAGUAUUUGGGUAAUUUUGUUUAGAAAUAGGGUUAUUAUUUAAAAAAAAAAAACCCAAAUUGGGGCCGAAGCCCACAUAUUGAUAUAAACUAAUGACCAAAGCAGUGUCGUGAGUGAACUUAUCUAGCGAAGGCAUUAACUCGUCAGACAUGCUAAUCAACUUUCUCACUUGUGUUCAUCACUCUCAAUCCUUGCAUGGCGAUGGAAUCAUGUCCCCAAGCAAGAACUCAAAUUUCAUAUUUAAUUUGGAGAUUUAGGCAUCGGUGAAUUCUAAAGAUUUGCAAUUAUUGAUAUAAUCUUACAAAAUUAUAUCUAUCAUAUUUGAAGUAAUUCAUCACCAAAUUCUCAACAUCUUUUGUGUCAUGAAAUUCUUUAUUUCUUUAUAAAUAACUUUCUCAAACAUCCAAUACUACUAUUAUAUUGUUG